CUAUGGGUCAGUCGGCCACCUCAACGUGGUGCCAGGGUCUAGUACUCUUUGCUAGAGAGGAAGCUAAGCGCCUGCC
rnacentral:ribozyme from 1 species